rnacentral:rRNA from 1 species
UUUUUUAAUUGAAAACUUGUAUGAAUGGUUGAAUGAAAUAUUAACUGUUUCAAAAAAAAAUAUUUAGAAUUUUAUUUUUUAGUAAAAAAGCUAAAAUAAUUUUAGAGGACGAGAAGACCCUAUAAAGUUUUAUAAUAUAAAUAUAAUUAUUUUUAUAGAAUUUUUUAAAUUUUAAUUUUUAUAUUAUUUUAUUGGGGUGAUAAUAAAAUUUAUAAAACUUUUAUUAUUUUUAAACAUUAAUAUAUGAAUUUAUGAUCCAAUUAUAUUGAUUAAAAAUUUAAAUUACUUUAGGGAUAACAGCGUAAUUUUUUUUUAAAGUUCAUAUUAAUAAAAAAGAUUGC